rnacentral:rRNA from 1 species
ACGAACGCUGGCGGCGUGCCUCAAACAUGCAAGUCGAGCGGGGUUCUGGAAGUGGGCGACCACGGAAGGGACCUAGCGGCGGACGGGUGAGUAACGCGUGGGUAAUCUGCCCAAGGGACCGGGAUAACACCUCGAAAGGGGUGCUAAUACCGGGUGACCCUGGUGCUCCGAGUGGGGGACCAGGGACAGGUGGCCUCUUGACAAUGCUACUGCCCCUUGGAUGAGCCCGCGUCCCAUUAGCUAGUUGGCGGGGUAAAGGCCCACCAAGGCGACGAUGGGUAGCCG